rnacentral:rRNA from 1 species
GGACUACCGGGGUAUCUAAUCCCGUUUGCUCCCCUGGCUUUCGCGCCUCAGCGUCAGAAGAGAUCCAGCGACUCGCUUUCGCCACCGGCGUUCCUUCCGAUAUCUACGCAUUUCACCGCUCCACCGGAAGUUCCAGUCGCCCCUACCUCCCUCAAGGCCCGCAGUAUCGAAAGCUGUUUUCCGGUUGAGCCGAAAGAUUUCACCCCCGACUUGCGAGCCCGCCUACGCGCCCUUUAAGCCCAGUGAAUCCGAACAACGUUCGCACGGUUCGUCUUACCGCGGCUGCUGGCAC